AUUGAACGCUGGCGGCAGGCUUAACACAUGCAAGUCGAACGAGUGGCGGAAGGGUGAGUAAUGCUUGGGAAUCUAGCUUAUGGAGGGGGAUCACUACGGGAAACUGUAGAUAAUACCGCGUACCAUAGGAUGAGCCCAAGUGGGAUUAGCUAGUUGGUGAGGUAAAGGCUCACCAAGCCGACAAUCUCUAGCUGGUCUGCGAGGAUGACCAGCCAACCUGUGACUGAGACACGGCCCAGACGACUACGGGAGGCAGCAGUGGGGAAUGUUGCGGAAUGGGGGCAACCUGACCCAGCCAUGCCGCGUGGAUGAAGAAGGCCUUCAGGUUGUAAAGUUCUUUCGGUAGCGAGGCGUUAUCUACAGAAGAAGCGCCGGCUAACUCCGUGCCAGCCGCCGCGGUAAUUC
rnacentral:rRNA from 1 species